CGAUGGGAUGCGAAUCUCGAAAGCCUGUCUCAGUUCGGAUUGGAGGCUGAAACCCGCCUCCAUGAAGUUGGAUUCGCUAGUAAUCGCGCAUCAGCCAUGGCGCGGUGAAUACGUUCCCGGGCCUUGUACACACCGCCCGUCAAGCCAUGGAAGCUGGGGGUGUCCUGAAGUUCGUGACCGGAAGGAGCGACCUAGGGCAAAACCGGUGACUGGGGCUAAGUCGUAACAAGGUAGC
rnacentral:rRNA from 1 species